rnacentral:piRNA from 1 species
UUAAUUGAUGAAUGGAUUCUUCUGAGC